UUGUCGUCAGCUCGUGUCGUGAGAUGUUGGGUUAAGUCCCGUAACGAGCGCAACCCCUAUUGUUAGUUGCCAUCAUUCAGUUGGGCACUCUAGCGAGACUGCCGGUAAUAAACCGGAGGAAGGUGGGGAUGACGUCAAAUCAUCAUGCCCCUUAUGACCUGGGCUACACACGUGCUACAAUGGUUGGUACAACGAGUUGCGAGUCGGUGACGGCGAGCUAAUCUCUUAAAGCCAAUCUCAGUUCGGAUUGUAGGCUGCAACUCGCCUACAUGAAGUCGGAAUCGCUAGUAAUCGCGGAUCAGCACGCCGCGGUGAAUACGUUCCCGGGCCUU
rnacentral:rRNA from 1 species